GCUGGGCACGGUGGUGCGUGCCUGUAAUCCCAGCUACUCAGGAGGCUGAGGCAGGAGAAUUGCCUGAACCCGGGAGGUGGAGGUUGCGGUGAGCCGAGAUCGCGCCAUUGCACUCCAGCCUGGGUAACAAGAGCGAAACUCCAUCUCAAAAAAAAAAAAAAAAAAAAAAGAUGAGGGCUAAUUUUUUUUUUUUUUGAGAUGGAGUCUCACUCUGUUGCCCAGGCUGGAGUGCAGUGACGCAAUCUCUGCUCACUGCAACCUCUGCCUCCUGGGUUCAAGCAGUUCUCUGCCUCAG
rnacentral:SRP_RNA from 1 species